rnacentral:lncRNA from 1 species
UUUUUUUUGAGAGAGAGAGAGAUAGGUAGCACGCCACCUGCUUCGUUUAUUUCAUUUAGAAAUAAACUUAGUUGGAAAUGUGAAUCAACUAGGAUUCGAACAUGGGUCUCGAGUACCAACCACCAAACCUUUUGCCAUUUGUUCUAGGGACGGUCAGUAUCUAUUGUUACAGUGUUAAAAUCUUAAAUCAGUAUGAAUGAUAGAUUAAGACGUCUUACUGUGGAGUGUGUAGAGAGUA